GCUCCAUUAACUCAAUGGUAGAGUAACCGGCUUUUAACCGGUAGGUUGUGGGUUCAAAUCCCAUGUGGAGUA
rnacentral:tRNA from 1 species